rnacentral:rRNA from 1 species
CCUACGGGAGGCAGCAGUGGGGAAUAUUGGACAAUGGGGGGAACCCUGAUCCAGCCAUGCCGCGUGUGUGAAGAAGGCCCUCGGGUUGUAAAGCACUUUCAGUGAGGAAGAACGCCUGGUGGUUAAUACCCAUCAGGAAAGACAUCACUCACAGAAGAAGCACCGGCUAACUCCGUGCCAGCAGCCGCGGUAAUACGGAGGGUGCGAGCGUUAAUCGGAAUUACUGGGCGUAAAGCGCGCGUAGGCGGCUUGAUAAGCCGGUUGUGAAAGCCCCGGGCUCAACCUGGGAACGGCAUCCGGAACUGUCAAGCUAGAGUGCAGGAGAGGAAGGUAGAAUUCCCGGUGUAGCGGUGAAAUGCGUAGAGAUCGGGAGGAAUACCAGUGGCGAAGGCGGCCUUCUGGACUGACACUGACACUGAGGUGCGAAAGCGUGGGUAGCAAACAGGAUUAGAUACCCCGGUAGUC